AGUGAACGCUGGCGGUAGGCCUAACACAUGCAAGUCGAACGGCAGCACAGUAAGAGCUUGCUCUUACGGGUGGCGGGUGGCGGACGGGUGAGGAAUACAUCGGAAUCUACUUUUUCGUGGGGGAUAACGUAGGGAAACUUACGCUAAUACCGCAUACGACCUACGGGUGAAAGCAGGGGAUCUUCGGACCUUGCGCGAUUGAAUGAGCCGAUGUCGGAUUAGCUAGUUGGCGGGGUAAAGGCCCACCAAGGCGACGAUCCGUAGCUGGUCUGAGAGGAUGAUCAGCCACACUGGAACGGAGACACGGUCCAGACUCCUACGGGAGGCAGCAGUGGGGAAUAUUGGACAAUGGGCGGAAGCCUGAUCCAGCCAUACCGCGUGGGUGAAGAAGGCCUUCGGGUUGUAAAGCCCUUUUGUUGGGAAAGAAAAGCAGCAGGUUAAGACCCCGCUGUUCUGACGGUACCCAAAGAAUAAGCACCGGCUAACUUCGUG
rnacentral:rRNA from 1 species